rnacentral:rRNA from 1 species
UUUUAUGGAGAGUUUGAUCCUGGCUCAGGAUGAACGCUGGCGGCGUGCCUAAUACAUGCAAGUCGAGCGAACUGACGAGGAGCUUGCUCCUUUAAUGUUAGCGGCGGACGGGUGAGUAACACGUGGGUAACCUACCUAUAAGACUGGAAUAACUCCGGGAAACCGGGGCUAAUGCCGGAUAACAUAUCGAACCGCAUGGUUCGAUAGUGAAAGACGGUCUUGCUGUCACUUAUAGAUGGACCCGCGCCGUAUUAGCUAGUUGGUGAGGUAACGGCUCACCAAGGCAACGAUACGUAGCCGACCUGAGAGGGUGAUCGGCCACACUGGAACUGAGACACGGUCCAGACUCCUACGGGAGGCAGCAGUAGGGAAUCUUCCGCAAUGGGCGAAAGCCUGACGGAGCAACGCCGCGUGAGUGAUGAAGGUCUUCGGAUCGUAAAGCUCUGUUGUUAGGGAAGAACAAAUGUGUAAGUAACUGUGCACAUCUUGACGGUACCUAACCAGAAAGCCACGGCUAACUACGUGCCAGCAGCCGCGGUAAUACGUAGGUGGCAAGCGUUAUCCGGAAUUAUU